UUGCGAAACCGGCCCUCGGGCCGGUCGGCCGGGCGUGGUGACCCGGUCCUGAUGAGCAGCCGGAG
rnacentral:hammerhead_ribozyme from 1 species